AUGAAAUUCUGCCUUUGGAAAUAGCUCAGUGUUACAACACUAUACUGUAGGUUUACACCAAUCUUUACUGUAGGUUUACACCAAUCUUUACUGUAGGUUUACACCAAUCUUUACUGUAGGUUUACACCAAUCUUUACUGUAGGUUUACACCAAUCUUUACUGUAGGUUUACACCAAUCUUUACUGUAGGUUUACACCAAUCUUUACUGUAGGUUUACACCAAUCUUUACUGUAGGUUUACACCAAUCUUUACUGUAGGUUUACACCAAUCAGUGUUACAACUCUACUGUAGGUUUACACCAAUCUUUACUGUAGGUUUACACCAAUCUUUACUGUAGGUUUACACCAAUCAGUGUUACAACUCUACUGUAGGUUUACACCAAUCUUUACUGUAGGUUUACACCAAACUUUACUGUAGGUUUACACCAAUCUUUACUGUAGGUUUACACCAAUCUUUACUGUAGGUUUACACCAAUCAGUGUUACAACUUUACUGUAGGUUUACACCAAUCUUUACUGUAGGUUUACACCAAUCAGUGUUACAACUUUACUGUAGGUUUACACCAAUCAGUGUUACAACAUUACUUCAAUUAGGGGUUAC